rnacentral:tRNA from 1 species
GGGGAUUUAGCUCAGCGGCAUAAGCGCCUGCCUUGGAAGCAGGUGGUCGUGAGUUCGAUCCCCA